CGGGUGAGUAACACGUGGAUAACCUACCUAUAAGACUGGGAUGACUUCGGGAAACCGGAGCUAAUACCGGAUAAUAUAUUGAACCGCAUGGUUCAAUAGUGAAAGACGGUUUUGCUGUCACUUAUAGAUGGAUCCGCGCCGCAUUAGCUAGUUGGUAAGGUAACGGCUUACCAAGGCAACGAUGCGUAGCCGACCUGAGAGGGUGAUCGGCCACACUGGAACUGAGACACGGUCCAGACUCCUACGGGAGGCAGCAGUG
rnacentral:rRNA from 1 species